UACGAAGGGGGCUAGCGUUGCUAGGAAUCACUGGGCGUAAAGCGCACGUAGGCGGCUUCUUAAGUCAGGGGUGAAAUCCUGGGGCUCAACCACAGAACUGCCCUUGAUACUGAGGAGCUUGAGUCCGGGAGAGGUGAGUGGAACUCCGAGUGUAGAGGUGAAAUUCGUAGAUAUUCGGAAGAACACCAGUGGCGAAGGCGGCUCACUGGCCCGGUACUGACGCUGAGGUGCGAAAGCGUGGGGAGCAUACAGG
rnacentral:rRNA from 1 species